rnacentral:rRNA from 1 species
UACAGAGGGGGCAAGCGUUGUUCGGAAUUACUGGGCGUAAAGGGCGCGUAGGCGGCCUUCUAAGUCGAACGUGAAAUCCCUGGGCUCAACCCAGGAACUGCGUCCGAUACUGGAAGGCUUGAAUCCGGGAGAGGGAUGCGGAAUUCCUGGUGUAGCGGUGAAAUGCGCAGAUAUCAGGAGGAACACCGAUUGCGAAGGCAGCUCGCUGGAACGUUACUGACGCUGAGACGCGAAAGCGUGGGGAGCAAACAGG